rnacentral:rRNA from 1 species
GACGUAGGGUGCGAGCGUUGUCCGGAUUUAUUGGGCGUAAAGAGCUCGUAGGCGGCUCGUCGCGUCGACCGUGAAAACCCGCAGCUUAACUGCGGGCUUGCGGUUGAUACGGGCGGUCUUGAGCCACCUAGGGGCAACUGGAACAAGCGGUGGAGCGGUGAAAUGCGUAGAUAUCGCUUGGAACGCCAACGGUGAAAACAGGUUGCUGGGGGUGUGCUGACGCUGAGACACGAAAGCCAGGGGAGCGAACGGG